rnacentral:rRNA from 1 species
CGCGUAGGCGGUCUUCUAUGUCAGAUGUGAAAGCCCGGGCUCAACCCCGGAAGUGCAUUUGAAACUGGGAGACUUGAGUAUGGGAGAGGGAAGUGGAAUUCCUGGUGUAGCGGUGAAAUGCGUAGAUAUCAGGAGGAACACCGGUGCGAAGGCGACUUCCUGGACCAAUACUGACGCUGAGGCGCGAAGGCGUGGGGAAGCAAACGA